rnacentral:misc_RNA from 1 species
UGGGAAAACAGCUGAGAUUAGCAGUUGUUUAAACAUCAAAUAAAAGUAAUAAUUAUGCUAUUAUAUGCAUUGUUACUGCAUUUCUAUAAUAAUGUUUGUUUGACAGAAUAUCCUAACCACUUGUCCUUUUUAUAUGCUACUGAGGAUAUUAUGUGAGUUGGUAUCCUUGUAUGUGAAUUAAUGAAGACCAGCUUUCUUGUAAUAUCUGUGGUUUAAUAAAUAAAUUUACCUAAACGCAAAACCAUGAUUAUCUGCUCAAUAAAUGUUUUACAAAUUGGUUACAUAGUUAGGGGCAGUCCUAUGUGGUACUCGUUUGUUCUGCAUCUGAAUAUAUUAAUCUGAGGUGAGGGGCCUCAUUAGCCUGCAAAGGGCUUGGGUGAUCUUCUUAUAGUUCAUGAUGGGAAAAAAUCUUGGACGGAAUUUGAUAACCCACCAUCAAGAAUUUAAAAUUAAAACUUCCAUGACUGCUGUUAGAAUCUUACAAUUCAAUUUGAUUUCCUCCCUAGUGAUUCAAAUCUAUAAGAUGAAUAUCAAAUGCACCUGAAUCUUAAUCAAAUUUUACCGAUUCUAGUGAAUCGAUGCAAAUCUACCGAUUCAGUCUAUUCUUUUUUUUUUUUCA